rnacentral:rRNA from 1 species
UACAGAGGGUGCGAGCGUUAAUCGGAGUUACUGGGCGUAAAGGGCGCGUAGGCGGUUGAGUAUGUGUGAUGUGAAAGCCCCGGGCUUAACCUGGGAAGUGCAUCGCAAACUGCUCGACUUGAGUAGAUGAGAGGGUGGCGGAAUUUCCGGUGUAGCGGUGAAAUGCGUAGAGAUCGGAAGGAACGUCAAUGGCGAAGGCAGCCACCUGGCAUCAUACUGACGCUGAGGCGCGAAAGCGUGGGGAGCGAACAGG